UAGAUGCGAGAGUAGAGCAUAUCAAUAAGCGGAGGAAAAGAAGCUAACAAGGAUUCCCUUAGUAACGGCGAGUGAAGCGGGAAGAGCUCAAAUUUGAAAUCUUCAAGGUUUUACCUUGACGAAUUGUAGUUUAAAGAAGUGUUUUCUGUUGAAGUUUUGGUAAAAGUUCUUUGGAAUAGGACAUCAUAGAGGGUGAGAAUCCCGUAUUUGACCAUUAUUUUCAGCUGUGUGAUACACUUUCAAAGAGUCGGAUUGUUUGGGAAUGCAGUCCAAAAUGGGUGGUAAAUUUCAUCUAAAGCUAAAUAUUGGCGAGAGACCGAUAGCGAACAAGGUACCGUGAGGGAAAGAUGAAAAGAACUUUGAAAAGAGAGUUAAACAGUACGUGAAAUUGUCAAAAGGGAAGCGUUUGACACCAGUGUUGUUUUCUCGAAAAUCAAUUACAAAAUGCUUGGAUUUUGUGUUGUAUUGACCUUAAUCAGCUUGCUUCACUUUUUUCGAGUCUUUCUUAAUGCACUUUUCGGUUAACAAGUCAACAUCAAUUUCUUUUGUUGUAAAAGAGUAUUCGGAAGGUGGCUUUCUUUUCGGAGAAAGUGUUUAUAGCCCUAUACUUCUACAAUCGGAGAGAUUGAGGUCUGCAGCGUAGAUCCUUCGGGGUUAGAUACACUUGUGCUAAGUUGUAGCUUUUCAUAGACAACUUGUUGACUAUGUUUAGUCAUGCGGCUUACUCGCUUAGUGCUAUUUUACCUACGCUUAGGAUGUUGAGCGCAUGUCUCUCUCU
rnacentral:rRNA from 1 species